rnacentral:rRNA from 1 species
AUGAGGUCAUUCUUUUGGGUUGGCAAGGACAAGGUGAAUGGUGGGCAAUGCCUCGUCGCGUGGGAUAAAAUCUGUCGACCCAAGUGCUAUGGAGGGCUCGGUGUGAAGAACUUACAGUAUCAACCCCUGGCGCUUAGGAUCGGAUGGGAAUGGUUAAAGUGCAUGGAACUAGCAAGGCCUUGGCAGGGACUACCGAUGAUCGAAGACAGGUUAGCAAGAGAGGUGUUUGACAGUCUGGUGCACAUUACAGUCGGCAUGGGUGACAAGGUGUUGUUCUGGCGUGAUCGUAGAUAUACGGAUAUGCAGUGGCUGACAUAG